CGCCCGGCCCAUUUGUCAACAUUUUCUGUGUGUCUGUGCUUGCUGCAACUUUUGAUGAAUGCGAGAAGCAGCACCUUUCCCCUUUCCUCCGUCACGCACAGUAAGCGUGCGGUGAAAACACGUGGCGCUGACCGGAGGCGGUUUCGUGCGGACUCCAGAUCGGUCUCGCCACACCGGAUGAGCGCCUAAUUAGCCCGAUUUUUUUGUGAAAUGAGCACGAUAGGAUCCUCGGCAGAGCGACACAUUUGGACAGAGCGGAUCCAGCUCGGCAGAAAAAAGUGUGGACAACGAAGGGACGCGAUCAGACGCCACGUUUACACUCUAUAAGUUCACAAAAGCCCUUUUCUUCCUGCACUAACUGCUGAAACCUCGACGGAGACGCAGACCAGUCGGUACAAACAUCGGCGGAGUCUCCUGUUGACCUUGAAUCACUGUACACUGAACCUCUGUUGAAAGAAAAAAAAAUAAAAAAUACAACUGCUGAUGAUUCUCAAGGUGACAAAGUGGAUGGAAGAGGAUGCAUUUGUCUCUUUCACAGCCUGACCUGGGAACGAAAUGUGAAGAACAUAAAACCUUCUGGUCUUAUCUAUUAUUUUGUAAGCACAGCAGUGCUAGUAAAAUUUCACUGGAGCUAAAAUUUGACCAGAAUACUAACUGUAAAAUUCUCAAAAAUAAAAGCUCUGCGCAUAAAUUCA